AUUGAACGCUGGCGGCAUGCUUUACACAUGCAAGUCGAACGGCAGCGGGGAGGAGCUUGCUUCUCUGCCGGCGAGUGGCGAACGGGUGAGUAAUACAUCGGAACGUGUCGAGAAGAGGGGGAUAACCACCCGAAAGGGUGGCUAAUACCGCAUAAAUUCUGAGGAAGAAAGCUGGGGACCUAGGAAUAGGCCUAGCGCUUUUUGAGCGGCCGAUGUCGGAUUAGCUAGUUGGUGAGGUAAAGGCUCACCAAGGCGAAGAUCUGUAGCGGGUCUGAGAGGAUGAUCCGCCACACUGGGACUGAGACACGGCCCAGACUCCUACGGGAGGCAGCAGUGGGGAAUUUUGGACAAUGGGGGCAACCCUGAUCCAGCCAUGCCGCGUGUAUGAAGAAGGCCUUGGGGUUGUAAAGUACUUUUGUUAGGGAAGAAAAGUCAGCUGUGAAUAAUGGCUGAUACUGACGGUACCUAAAGAAUAAGCACCGGCUAACUACGUG
rnacentral:rRNA from 1 species